ensembl:lncRNA
UUAGUCUGAGGGUGCUUUUAACCUUCCUGAGUCUGAGGGCGGUUUAAACCUUCCUGGGUCUGAGGGUGCUUUUAACCUUCCUGAGUCUGAGGGUGCUAUUAACCUUCCUGAGUCUGAGGGUAUUUUUUAACCUUCCUGAGUCUGAGGGUGCUUUUAACCUUCCUGAGUCUGAGGGUGCUUUUAACCUUCCUGAGUCUGAGGGUGCUAUUAACCUUCCUGAGUCCGAGGUUUUUUUUAACCUUCCUGAGUCUGAGGGUGCUUUUAACCUUCCUGAGUCUGAGGGUGCUUUUAACCUUCCUGAGUCUGAGGGUGCUUUUAACCUUCCUGAGUCUGAGGGUGGUUUUAAACUUCCAGACUUGGAAUUAUAUCAACUCUCUACCCAAGGCUUUUACUUGUGACAUAUAGUUAAAUGCACUCACGAGGAACAAUGGGUACAUAAUCAAAAUGCGCAUGCUCAUCCCCAGAAUCUUUUUACGUGUCUAUUUUCAAAGAUAAAGCUAAGAACGUGAACAACUUCAUAGUUAAAAACAGUAUAACAAUAUGGAAGAAGAUCAAACAUAUUUUACAAGAACCAAUGUCACUCCCUAAAAACACAACCAUUUGGAACAAGUCUUGGAUAGCUUUUCACGAUUCACUGAUAAAUUGGUCCACAUGGACAACUAAAGGCAUAGAAACCAUAAAUGACUUGGUAACAGGAAAUAAAUGUAUUUCCGUGACAGAAUUAAAAAGUCAUUUUGGACUGACCAAUGUAGAUACAGUAUUUUCAAAUUUUGCAACUUAAAAGUUUCAUAUCAUGAAAUGUUGCUUUUUAAGUCAUUUGGAUAUCAGAGAAACAUCGAGGGAAUCUUAUUUGAGUCAGAAAAGGCUGUUCAUGUGAUAGGUAAGAUAUAUAAAACUUUGCAGAGAGCAUAUCCAACUGACAACCUCUUAGAAAAAAAUAUUAACUAUUGGAACCAAGACUUAAAAAUAACUGAUGUUGGAGGGAAUGUUGGGACACAACUAACGAAGUUACAGUUGUCAAAAAGGUAGGCUUAAUCCAGUAUAAACUAAUGUAUAUAAUUUCUUAUACAAGAGACAUGAUUCACAAAUUCUACAGCACAAUGGCAGAAUCAUCUCUGACGUGUAAAACUAACAAUGACUCAAUAAUCCAUGAGUUCUGGGAACGUUAUAAAGUCCAAAAGUUAUGGGCAGAGUUAAACAGAUGGCUGUCAGAAGUAUUACAAUUUAAAUGGAAUUUUAAUUUGUUUGUCUGCACACCGCCCGGGCAUGCAUAAAUUCCUUGUUUUUGAAAGAAAAGCACAUUUUUUUGUCCAUUAAAAUAACAUCAAAUUGAUCAGAAAUACAGUGUAGACAUUGUUAAUGUUGUAAAUGACUAUUGUAGCCACCCCGCUGAUCCUCAACACUGGGGCUUCACAAGGGUGCGUGCUCAGCCCCUUCCUGUACUCCCUAUUCACCCACAACUGCGUGGCCAUCACGCCUCCAACUCAGUCAAGUUUGCAGACGACACUAGAGUGGUAGGCUUGAUUACCAACAACGACGAGACUGCCUACAGGAAGGAAGUGAGGGCCCUCGGAGUGUGGUGUCAGGAAAAUAACCUCGCACUCAACGUCAACAAAACAAAGGAGAUGAUCGUGGACUUCAGGAAACAGCAGAGGGAGCACCCCCCCAUCCACAUCGAUGGGACAGUAGUGGAGAAGGUGGAAAGUUUUAAGUUCCUCGGCGUAGACAUCACGGACAAACUGAAAUGGUCCACCCACACAGACAGCAUGGUGAAGAAGACGCAGCAGCGCCUCUUCAACCUCAGGAGGCUGAAGAAAUUUGGCUUGUCACCAAAAACACUCACAAACUUUUACAGCUGCACAAUCGAGAGCAUCCUGUCGGGCUGUAUCACCGCCUGGUACGGCAACUGCUCCGCCCACAACCGUAAGGCUCUCCAGAGGGUAGUGAGGUCUGCACAACGCAUCACCGGGGGCAAACUACCUGCCCUUCAGGAUACCUACGCCACCUGAUGUCACAGGAAGGCCAAAAAGAUCAUCAAGGACAACCACCACCCGAGCCACUGUCUGUUCACCCUGCUAGCAUCCAGAAGGCGAGGUCAGUACAGGUGCAUCAAAGCUGGGACCGAGAGACUGAAAAACAGCUUCUUUCUCAAGGCCAUCAGACUGUUAAACAGCC